GACAGAGGGUGCGAGCGUUGUCCGGAGUCACUGGGCGUAAAGCGCGCGCAGGCGGCAACCUCAGUGUCGUGUGAAAGCCCCCGGCUCAACCGGGGGAGGCCAUGGCAAACUGGGUCGCUCGAGCUGCGGAGAGGCCCCUCGAAUUGCCGGUGUAGCGGUGAAGUGCGUAGAGAUCGGCAGGAAGACCAAGGGGGAAGCCAGGGGGCUGGCCGCAGGCUGACGCUGAGGCGCGACAGCGUGGGGAGCAAACAGG
rnacentral:rRNA from 1 species